rnacentral:rRNA from 1 species
GUGGGGAAUCUUGCGCAAUGGGCGAAAGCCUGACGCAGCCAUGCCGCGUGAAUGAUGAAGGUCUUAGGAUUGUAAAAUUCUUUCACCGGGGACGAUAAUGACGGUACCCGGAGAAGAAGCUCCGGCUAACUUCGUGCCAGCAGCCGCGGUAAUACGAAGGGGGCUAGCGUUGCUCGGAAUUACUGGGCGUAAAGGGCGCGUAGGCGGACAGCUUAGUCAGAGGUGAAAGCCCAGGGCUCAACCUUGGAAUUGCCAUUGAUACUGGCUGGCUGGAGUUUGGGAGAGGUGAGUGGAACUCCGAGUGUAGAGGUGAAAUUCGUAGAUAUUCGGAAGAACACCAGUGGCGAAGGCGACUCACUGGCCCAAUACUGACGCUGAGGCGCGAAAGCGUGGGGAGCAAACAGGAUUAGAUACCCCGGUAGUCC